GUGGCACCUCAGUGCUCGCUUUGGCAGCUCGUACACUAAAAUUGGGAUGAUACGGAGAUUAGCAUAGCCCCUGGGCAAGGA
rnacentral:snRNA from 1 species